CAGCUAGUCGGUGGGGUAAUGGCCUACCGAGGCGACGAUCGGUAGCUGGUCUGAGAGGACGAUCAGCCACACUGGGAUUGAGAACGGCCCAGACUCCUACGGGGGGCAGCAGUGAGGAAUUUUCCGCAAUGGACGAAAGUCUGACGGAGCAACGCCGCGUGCAGGAGGACGGCCUUCGGGUUGUAAACUGCUUUUCUCAGGGACGAGCAAGGACGGUACCUGAGGAAGAAGCCCCGGCUAACUACGUGCCAGCAGCCGCGGUAAUACGUAGGGGGCGAGCGUUGUCCGGAUUUAUUGGGCGUAAAGCGUCCGCAGGCGGUGUGGCAAGUUCGAGGUGACAGUGCGCGGCUUCACUGCGCAAGGUCCUCGAAAACUGCCACACUUGAGGGCUUCAGAGGGACCUGGAAUUCCGGGUGGAGUGGUGAAAUGCGUAGAGAUCCGGAGGAACACCAAAGGCGCAGGCAGGGUCCUGGGAAGCUACUGACGCUCAUGGACGAAAGCUAGGGGAGCGAACGGGAUUAGAUACCCCGGUAGUCCUAGCCGUAAACGAUGACCACUAGACGUGGGAGGUAUCGACCCCUUCC
rnacentral:rRNA from 1 species